GGAAAAAAGGGUUAGGGCAACAAACCCUAACCCUUUCAUCCCCAGCCGCCAUCAUUCCCCCCUCCUUCCUCCUCGAUCAUCUCCCCCCAAAUCCCCCACCGAGCUUCGGAUCCCCCUCCCCCUCCGGAUCCCCCUCCCCUUUCGAGCUUCGAGGACGACCCCGCGCCGUCGAGAAAGGUGUUCUACCCCUCCGAGCUGAGGAUACGGCGGUGGCGGCGGGCGGGAUGUGGUUCGACGAGAACAUACCCUUGGAGGAGGUGUUUGAUAAUCUGAGAUGCACGCGGGAGGGCAUGUGUUCUUUCCGUCACCACCUCAACUGACAUAGAUUUGAGAGCAAGUUUCUAAAAUUCUUGGGGUUCAUGUGGAAUCCGCUGUCGUGGGUGAUGGAGGCGGCGGCCAUCGAGGAAGCCCAGGGGAAGCCCCCAAACUGGCCGUGGCAGCCCAGGUUGCCCUGCUUCUUGAUUUCGUGGGGAUUAUUACCCUGCUUCUAAUCAACUGGACGAUCAGCUUCAUCGAGGAGAACAACGCUGGAAACGCCGCGGCAGCCUAGGUUACUGUGCUCUCCAUUCCCUGGACAUCGGAAGCGAUGAGUUCCUGGGGAAUAUUAUUGUGCUUUGUAUGCUAGUGGCAGAAGAUGUGAUUUUGAUCAAAGACCUGAGCUUUCUAAGGGAAGUGUGGAAUUUGUUGCUCCUACUGAAUAUAUGGUGCGGCCACCAGUAUAUUUUUUCCUUAUUGAUGUGUCAGUAUCUGCAGUUCGGUGUGGGUUGCUUGAGAUUGUGGCAAAGACCAUAAAGUCUUGUCUUGAUGAGCUAUCCGGCUUCCCUAGGACACAGAUUGGCUUCUUAACUUUCGAUAGUGCAUUGCAUUUCCAUAAUUUAAAGGCAUGUAUUAUUACAUUCCAAUGAUCUGAACGCUGAACAUAGUUACUCUGUUGAUCUUAUGGCAAUUUUCUGCUCCUAUAAUUCCACUUUUGCAGUCUUCCUUGACACAGCCUCAAAUGCUGGUGGUAGCAGAUCUGGAGCUGAAUCCUGUCCCUGAUACUUUGUAGAUUGUUUUUUAUGGAGUUUGAUAUGUAUAUGUUUUUUAUAUUUUCAAAGUACAUUGUAAUUCAUAACUU